UUUGAGUCAGUGGGCUAGGGAAGGCAGACCCACUCUUAAUACCGGUGGGCACAAUCUAAUCAGCUGCCAGCAAAUAUAAAGCAGGCAGAAAAAAAAAAAAAACGUGAAAAGGCUAGACUGACUUAGUCUCCCAGCCCACAUCCUUCUCCUGUGCUGGAUGCUUCCUGCCCUCGAACAUUGAACUCCAAGUUCUACUGGCUUCCUUGUUCCUCAGCUUGCAGAUAGCCUACUGUGGGACCCUGUGAUUGUAUUAUACUUUCCUUUGGAAUACUAAUAGCACUUUAUACUUUUCUACAUACUAGAAGAUCUUCAAUGACGGUAUUAUUAAGAACUAAGAGAAUAGCUUGCCAGAUACAAAUGGAAACACCUUCCAAAUGAGUCGGAGAAAAUGUCUUGCAGUAUUAUGGGUAAAAUAGCAAAGAGCUUGGGAAUACAGUUUGCUAAUAUCAAGUCCUUAACAACGACCAUUCUUCAUUCAAGAUUAGUUGUGUAUAAAUACAUGCUUCUUCAGGAGUUGACUUAGAAAACAAGCAAACAAACAAACAUCAGAAACUAUUUACAACUGGGAGCAAUCCUUGAAGAACAUAAAGAAUAUAAAUAUCAACAAAGGCUGAAAACUCUUUUUUAGAUUAAAGAUCAAAUGGACAUGUCAUCGGAAUGUAUUGUAUGGCUCUUGAUUAAAUCCUGGAGCAAAGUGGAGAGUGAGGAACAACUGUAAAGAAUGUGAAUACGGACUGUGUAUUAGAUAACAGUACCAUAAAUUUCCUGGAUGGGAUAAUUAUGUUGUGACUAUGUAAGAGAAUAUUUUGCCCUUAGAAGAUAUAUGAUGAAGCAUUUAGAAGUAAAGUAUCAUGACAUCUUGCAAAUAACUUUCAAGUGAUUCAGCCAGAUAUAUAAAAAU
rnacentral:lncRNA from 1 species